GCAUCAAUGGGGUAGUGGUAACCUGGGUCGUUGCCAUGGGGCCCAUAACCUGUAGGACCCUCGACCCGCCGGGGGUUCGAUUCCCCCUUGAUGCA